GACGAACGCUGGCGGCGUGCUUAACACAUGCAAGUCGAACGCUGAAGCUUGGUGCUUGCACUGGGUGGAUGAGUGGCGAACGGGUGAGUAAUAAGUGAGUAACCUGCCCUUGACUCUGGGAUAAGCCUGGGAAACUGGGUCUAAUACUGGAUACGACAUGUCACCGCAUGGUGGUGUGUGGAAAGGGUUUUACUGGUUUUGGAUGGGCUCACGGCCUAUCAGCUUGUUGGUGGGGUAAUGGCUCACCAAGGCGACGACGGGUAGCCGGCCUGAGAGGGUGUCCGGCCACACUGGGACUGAGACACGGCCCAGACUCCUACGGGAGGCAGCAGUGGGGAAUAUUGCACAAGGGGCGGAAGCCUGAUGCAGCGACGCCGCGUGAGGGAUGACGGCCUUCGGGUUGUAAACCUCUUUCAGCACGGAAGAAGCGAAAGUGACGGUACGUGCAGAAGAAGCGCCGGCUAACUACGU
rnacentral:rRNA from 1 species